GACGAACGCUGGCGGCGUGCUUAACACAUGCAAGUCGAACGGUAAGGCCCUUCGGGGUACACGAGUGGCGAACGGGUGAGUAACACGUGGGUGAGCUGCCCUGCACUUUGGGAUAAGCCUGGGAAACUGGGUCUAAUACCGGAUAGGACCAUGGCAUGCAUGUGCUGUGGUGGAAAGCUUUUGCGGUGUGGGAUGGGCCCGCGGCCUAGCAGCGUGUUGGUGGGGUGAUGGCCUACCAAGGCGACGACGGGUAGCCGGCCUGAGAGGGUGUCCGGCCACACUGGGACUGAGAUACGGCCCAGACUCCUACGGGAGGCAGCAGUGGGGAAUAUUGCACAAUGGGCGCAAGCCUGAUGCAGCGACGCCGCGUGGGGGAUGACGGCCUUCGGGUUGUAAACCUCUUUCAAUAGGGACGAAGCGCAAGUGACGGUACCUAUAGAAGAAGCACCGGCCAACUACGUGCCAGCCGCCGCCGUAA
rnacentral:rRNA from 1 species